UCUCGUGAUCCACCCACCUCAGCCUCCCAAAAUCCUGGGAUUAUAGGCAUGAGCUACUGCACCUGGUCAAAAUUACCUCUUAACGUAUGUCCCUCAGUUGUUAUUUAGAAACCUGAAACCCCACCAAAUGGAUCCACUGGCAUAUAGACCUCAGUCAGCGCUACAUGCCAUCAAGCCAAGGAGGAAUUUCCUUUUCACUGUUGCUUCUCUGACCAAGGAGGACAUAAGCACAACCAGUCACCAGACUGAUGAAAUUCCUUCUAGUUUCAGAAAAGAUGAUCACCAAUCCCUAAAUUAUUAAAUUCAUACUAAUAAAGCACAAAAACUGAAUUCUAA